rnacentral:rRNA from 1 species
UACGGAGGGGGCAAGCGUUAUUCGGAAUUAUUGGGCGUAAAGGGCGCGUAGGCGGCUAGAUGUGUCAAAGGUGAAAUCCCUCGGCUCAACUGAGGAACUGCCUUUGAAACUGUCUGGCUUGAGGCCGGGAGAGGGUAGCGGAAUUCCCAGUGUAGCGGUGAAAUGCGUAGAUAUUGGGAGGAACACCAGUGGCGAAGGCGGCUCACUGGACUGGUAUUGACGCUGAGGUGCGAAAGCGUGGGGAGCAAACAGG